rnacentral:rRNA from 1 species
UGGGGAAUAUUGCACAAUGGAGGGAACUCUGAUGCAGCGACGCCGCGUGAGUGAUGAAGGAAUUCGUUUCGUAAAACUCUGUUCUAUGGGAAGAAAAGGACUGUACCAUAGGAGAAAGCUCCGGCUAAAUACGUGCCAGCAGCCGCGGUAAUACGUAUGGAGCGAGCGUUGUCCGGAAUUAUUGGGCGUAAAGGGUGCGCAGGCGGCUUUACAAGUUGGAUGUGAAAUAUUGUGGCUCAACCACAAACGUGCAUCCAAAACUGCAAAGCUUGAGUUAAGGAGAGGUAAGUGGAAUUCCUGGUGUAGCGGUGGAAUGCGUAGAUAUCAGGAGGAAUACCGGUGGCGAAAGCGACUUACUGGACUUAAACUGACGCUCAGGAACGAAAGCGUGGGGAGCAAACAGG